rnacentral:tRNA from 1 species
GCCCGGCUGGCACAAUCGGUAGCGCGUGAGACUCUUAAUCUCAAGGUUGUGGGUUUGAGCCCCACGUCAGGCU